UACGAAGGGGGCUAGCGUUGUUCGGAAUUACUGGGCGUAAAGGGCGCGUAGGCGGUGUGUCAAGUCAGGCGUGAAAGCCCGAGGCUCAACCUCGGAACUGCCUUCGAUACUGCGGGUCUCGAGUCCGGGAGAGGUGAGUGGAAUUCCUAGUGUAGAGGUGAAAUUCGUAGAUAUUAGGAAGAACACCAGUGGCGAAGGCGGCUCACUGGCCCGGUACUGACGCUGAGGCGCGAAAGCGUGGGGAGCAAACAGG
rnacentral:rRNA from 1 species